UUUAUUUAAGGGUGGAAAGGGCCCCGCCAGGCCUUGUAAUUAUAUUACGAGGUGAGAAAAUCGGAUGCAGAGUUGCCCGUCUGCUAAAUAAA
rnacentral:ncRNA from 12 species